AGAGUUUGAUCCUGGCUCAGGAUGAACGCUAGCGACAGGCUUAACACAUGCAAGUCGAGGGGCAGCGGGGGUAGCGAUACCCGCCGGCGACCGGCGCACGGGUGAGUAACGCGUAUGCAACUUGCCUAUCAGAGGGGGAUAACCCGGCGAAAGUCGGACUAAUACCGCAUGAAGCAGGGGCCCCGCAUGGGGAUAUUUGCUAAAGAUUCAUCGCUGAUAGAUAGGCAUGCGUUCCAUUAGGCAGUUGGCGGGGUAACGGCCCACCAAAGCGACGAUGGAUAGGGGUUCUGAGAGGAAGGUCCCCCACAUUGGUACUGAGACACGGACCAAACUCCUACGGGAGGCAGCAGUGAGGAAUAUUGGUCAAUGGCCGAGAGGCUGAACCAGCCAAGUCGCGUGAGGGAUGAAGGUUCUAUGGAUCGUAAACCUCUUUUAUAAGGGAAUAAAGUGCGGGACGUGUCCCGUUUUGUAUGUACCUUAUGAAUAAGGAUCGGCUAACUCCGUGCCAGCAGCCGCGGUAAUACGGAGGAUCCGAGCGUUAUCCGGAUUUAUUGGGUUUAAAGGGUGCGUAGGCGGCCCCUUAAGUCAGCGGUGAAAGUCUGUGGCUCAACCAUAGAAUUGCCGUUGAAACUGGGAGGCUUGAGUAUGUUUGAGGCAGGUGGAAUGCGUGGUGUAGCGGUGAAAUGCAUAGAUAUCACGCAGAACCCCGAUUGCGAAGGCAGCCUGCCAAGCCAUUACUGACGCUGAUGCACGAAAGCGUGGGGAUCAAACAGGAUUAGAUACCCUGGUAGUCCACGCAGUAAACGAUGAUCACUAGCUGUUUGCGAUACACUGUAAGCGGCACAGCGAAAGCGUUAAGUAUUCCACCUGGGGAGUACGCCGGCAACGGUGAAACUCAAAGGAAUUGACGGGGGCCCGCACAAGCGGAGGAACAUGUGGUUUAAUUCGAUGAUACGCGAGGAACCUUA
rnacentral:rRNA from 1 species